GCUUAUAGUCAUGCCACCCUGGACUUGCCCAAUCUCAGCUGAUCUCAGAAGCUAAGCAAUAUUGAGCCAAAUUAGUACUUAGACGGGAGAAAAGAAAAUGAAACUUUAAUUG
rnacentral:rRNA from 1 species